rnacentral:sRNA from 1 species
UACUGGCUGGUCCUCAUGACCCUCUCUGCAGUAUAUUGGGCUGGGCGCUGUGGCUGACUGUGUGGGUAUCAACGUGACCGUGGGUGGUGAGAGCUGCCAGCACGAGUUCCGGGGGGACAUGGUUGUCUGCCCCCUGCCCCCAUCCCUGCAGCUUGGCCAGGAUGGUGCCCCAUUGCAGGUAGGCAGCCCAGCUGGACCUCCCUGGGAAACACGGGCAGAGGGCCUACAGGCUGGGCCUGAGUUGCCACCUGCCCCCAGGUCUGCGUAGAUGGUGAAUGUCAUAUCCUGGGUAGAGUGGUGCGGCCAGGGCCAGACGGGGUCCCACAGAGCACGCUCCUUGGUAUCCUGCUGCCUUUGCUGCUGCUUGUGGCUGCACUGGCGACUGCACUGGUCUUCAGCUACUGGUGGCGGAGGAAGCAGCUAGUUCUUCCUCCCAACCUGAAUGACCUGGCAUCCCUGGACCAGACUGCUGGAGCCACACCCCUGCCUAUUCUGUACUCGGGCUCUGACUACAGAAGUGGCCUUGGUGAGAUAGUGGAGGC